GCACUCAGUGCCUCUAAGGGAGAAUUACACAUUUUGUUAGUCACCUCUGGUCUGCCUGGAUCUGAUGAGUCAUCAGACCUGCUGCUCUGGGUUGAAUAGAAGUGUCUAGCCACGUGGAUGACGAAUCCUGGGCUAAUUUGAUUUUGCUAGGAAUCCAUUUGAAAAGCAGCUCAGAGAGACUAGAAACCUUGGAAUUAUGUCCUCCAGAAUCCCUUGGCAUCAGAGCUCUGCUUUGCAGUUUCCCAAUGAAAGAAACUUGUGCAACAAAGGAAGAAGAAAAUAGAAGUUCUUGCUCCCAUGGGAGCAACACCAAGCAUGCAGGCUUUGAUCAAUGGCAGAUGUGGGAUCACCGUAAUAACUUCUAUGUGCCCUCCUGCACUUGCCUCUUUUACUGUUGAAGGAAGCUGAGAUCAUUAGUCAUCAUUUUACAGUUCUACACUUCUUGGAAGCAUACGGUAUCUUUCCUUGGUCUUUUCUUCUUUGGUCCUUCUAACAGUUUUAACAGUGUCUGGAAUAAAUCCCUCCUUUGAAAACUCUUGAGUGGGGUGCCU